UUGAAGCACAACAAGGGCAAACAACUUCUCUAAAGUCACACAUCGCCAGUCAGGAGGCUGCCCGGAACUGGAGACUAGCCUGCUUUCUGAGAAGGAAAUCAAGAAAACAGUAACACCACCACACACUUUGGUGGAUGAGCGCGGCCACCUCAAUCAGUAACCUUCCUUCAGCUACGUUCUGUCACGAGGCGGCCCAAGGGCAGCAAGUCAGGACAAGCCCCAGAAAAAGGAAGCAUCCUGUGCAUUUUAUUUAAGUGAACUGACAGAAGAUGCAAUCUCUCAACCAUCUAUGGAAAGACGUAGCUCAUAGAGUCACAGCAUCUUUGAGCUAGAAGAUAACUCCUGUUCUACAUAUGAGAGGCCGGCUUCCUAAGAAAUCGAGUCAUAUCCAAACACGUGACAGGACAUCAGAGCUAGCAGUGCUCCCACUUACUUCAGGGGUGCUUACCUGCUACUGAACAGAUAACUGGAGAAUUGCUUGGCAUGGAAACCGCACACAUUUGGUGUGAGAAGUGCUGCUAGUUCCUUUCUGCAUCGGAUGAGAUGAAAAACGAGAAGAGGCAUCAGAGAUUUGAGAAACAAGGAGAAGGCCCCAUUAGAUGAGGGAUAGCGGCCAAUGAAACAUGUACAGUGAUGUCCUCAGUGCUUUACAGAAGACAGAAAAGCAACCACAGUAAAACGACUGCAAAAUUGAGGCCUAAGAGUGUCUCUCACCCACAGCCCAGAGUUGGUGGAAACACGAAGCAGAGGACACUAAAGCCAUUCCUGCAGCUUAGAAAACUGGUCCUGAGCUUUGUGAUUCAGAGAGGCUUCAGCUGAGAGAAGAGGGGAACUGACCAAUGGUCCUCACAUAUCAUUGGGCAGGAAAGGAAGAACAUACAAUGUGAUAUUGAGGUCUGAAAUGGAUGGAUCUUAGACCCUGAACCUCUCUAAGCCAGU